ACACUCCUACGGGAGGCAGCAGUGGGGAAUAUUGGACAAUGGGCGCAAGCCUGAUCCAGCCAUGCCGCGUGAGUGAUGAAGGCCCUAGGGUUGUAAAGCUCUUUCACCGGUGAAGAUAAUGACGGUAACCGGAGAAGAAGCCCCGGCUAACUUCGUGCCAGCAGCCGCGGUAAUACGAAGGGGGCUAGCGUUGUUCGGAUUUACUGGGCGUAAAGCGCACGUAGGCGGACUAUUAAGUCAGGGGUGAAAUCCCGGGGCUCAACCCCGGAACUGCCUUUGAUACUGGUAGUCUUGAGUUCGAGGGAGGUGAGUGGAAUUCCGAGUGUAGAGGUGAAAUUCGUAGAUAUUCGGAGGAACACCAGUGGCGAAGGCGGCUCACUGGCUCGAUACUGACGCUGAGGUGCGAAAGCGUGGGGAGCAAACAGGAUUAGAAACCCCUGUAGUCC
rnacentral:rRNA from 1 species